ensembl:ncRNA F59B10.9 ncRNA
CCAAUAAUCGUCACUGCCACCCAUACCGAGUUGACCUCGACCGAGAAUAGGAAUACGAAUUGAGAUAGAAAAACGGCGAACGAA